rnacentral:rRNA from 1 species
UCUCGAUAGGCGAAGAACUCUGGAAUGAGUCUUCACCCAAAAGUGACUACGUUAUGCUCGUAGUUUCGCCCAAGGAUGGGGCCGCGACCGAUCAGGUUGUUGGUGAGGUAAUGGCUCACCAAGCCUUUUACCGGUGCGGGCCGUGGGAGCGGGAGCCCGGAGAUGGGCACUGAGACAAGGGCCCAGGCCCUACGGGGCGCAGCAGUCGCGAAAACUUUGCAAUAAGCGAAAGCUUGACAGGGCUAUCCCGAGUGCCAUCCGCUGAGGAAGGCUUUUACUCAGUCUAGAAAGCUGAGGGAAUAAGGAGAGGGCAAGUCUGGUGUCAGCCGCCGCGGUAAUACCAGCUCUUCGAGUGGUGUGGAUGUUUAUUGGGCCUAAAGCAUCCGUAGCUGGCUAGGUUAGUCCCCUGUUAAAUCCACCGAAUUAAUCGUUGGAUUGCGGGGGAUACUGCUUGGCUAGGGGACGAGAGAGGCAGACGGUAUUUCCGGGGUAGGGGUGAAAUCCUAUAAUCCCGGGAAGACCACCAGUGGCGAAGGCUGUCUGCUAGAACGCGCCCGACGGUGAGGGAUGAAAGCUGGGGGAGCGAACCGGAUUAGAUACCCGGGUAGUCCCAGCUGUAAACGAUGCAGACUAGGUGUUUGGACGGCCACGUGCCGUUCUAGUGCCGCAGGGAAGCUGUUAAGUCUGCCGCCUGGGGAGUACGAUCGCAAGAUUGAAACUUAAAGGAAUUGGCGGGGGAGCACCACAAGGGGUGAAGCUUGCGGUUUAAUUGGAUUCAACGCCGGG